rnacentral:rRNA from 1 species
AGUGAACGCUGGCGGUAGGCCUAACACAUGCAAGUCGAACGGCAGCACAGUAAGAGCUUGCUCUUACGGGUGGCGAGUGGCGGACGGGUGAGGAAUACAUCGGAAUCUACUUUUUCGUGGGGGAUAACGUAGGGAAACUUACGCUAAUACCGCAUACGACCUACGGGUGAAAGCAGGGGAUCUUCGGAACUUGCGCGAUUGAAUGAGCCGAUGUCGGAUUAGCUAGUUGGCGGGGUAAAGGCCCACCAAGGCGACGAUCCGUAGCUGGUCUGAGAGGAUGAUCAGCCACACUGGAACUGAGACACGGUCCAGACUCCUACGGGAGGCAGCAGUGGGGAAUAUUGGACAAUGGGCGCAAGCCUGAUCCAGCCAUACCGCGUGGGUGAAGAAGGCCUUCGGGUUGUAAAGCCCUUUUGUUGGGAAAGAAAAGCAGCAGGUUAAUACCCCGCUGUUCUGACGGUACCCAAAGAAUAAGCACCGGCUAACUUCGUG